rnacentral:rRNA from 1 species
UAAUACGGAGGAGGCAAGCGUUGUUCGGAAUCACUGGGCUUAAAGCGGGUGUAGGCGGGGUGGCAGGUGUCCUGUGAAAGCCCUCGGCUCAACCGAGGAACUGCAGGGCAAACCGCCACCCUUGAGGCAGGUAGGGGCAAGUGGAACUAUGGGUGGAGCGGUGAAAUGCGUAGAUAUCCAUGGGAACGCCGGUAGCGAAAGCGGCUCGCUGGGCCUGUCCUGACGCUGAGACCCGAAAGCGUGGGUAGCAAACAGGAUUAGAUACCCUGGUAGUCCACGCCGUAAACGAUGCGCACUAGGUACGAGGACUCUGACGGUGUUCGUGCCGAAGGAAAACUGCUAAGUGCGCCGCCUGGGGAGUACGGCCGCAAGGCUA